UUAUUUAGAAAACCCUCUCUCUUUCCCCUUCUUCUUCGCGUGAACCCCCCUCCUCGAAACCUUCUUCCAGCCGAAACUCUCAGCCGCUGCUCGCCGUAAAAUCCAAAGCCUCCUUUGCGCGCCGCCGGUCAGACGUGAAGCCCAGUUAGCUUUGCUCGACGUCGUCUGUCAGAUCCGUUGGAGCUGCGCCGUUUGUCGAUCGUGAAUCGCAUCCGUCGGUCACUUCUACUCAGACUACUUCGCCUCCAACCGUUGCUGAAGUCGCGCCGGCCUUCACACGCAAACAAGCCCAGCCGAGCGACGCCACCGCUCAACUUCAGUCACUGCCUUCACGCCUAGCCGCCGCGCCAUUUCUUCUAGAUGCCACCACCGUCACCGCCUAGCCAUGUUCGUCGCCGAAAUCUACCAUGCAUCACCGGAUUUUUGUUUUGAACUCAACGAUUGAGACGUUGCCAUGGAGUUCGAGACCAAUUUCAGUGAAAAUUGUUGAAGUUUGAUUGGCCAACAAGAUUGAGUUUUGGAGUUAAUUUAGGACCAAGAGGUCUUGCUUGGUAAAGGAAAGAUAAGCUUGCUUGGAUUAUUUGGAUUUAAUUUUGAGGUAAAAGUAGAGAUGCACCGACAAUUGACAACCAGAAUUCGUGAUCGAGCCACUGGGACCAGUUUUAUGCUUCCGCUCAUGAUAUUUAGAUUUCUUUCCAUGCUUUUUCAACUUUCAGUUUUGCUGUUUGAAAUUUACUAUUAAGAGUUGUUUUCAGACCUAUUAUUAUCAUCUAUGAUUUAUGGGUACCCUAUUAUUUGUUUAAAUAUUUGAGUUUAAUGAAGGACUUUUGAACGUACCUUA